UACGUAGGGUGCAAGCGUUGUCCGGAAUUAUUGGGCGUAAAGAGCUCGUAGGCGGUCUGUCACGUCGGCUGUGAAAUCCCGAGGCUCAACCUCGGGUCUGCAGUCGAUACGGGCAAACUAGAGUAUUGCAGGGGAGACUGGAAUUCCUGGUGUAGCGGUGAAAUGCGCAGAUAUCAGGAGGAACACCGGUGGCGAAGGCGGGUCUCUGGGCAAUAACUGACGCUGAGACACGAAAGCGUGGGGAGCAAACAGG
rnacentral:rRNA from 1 species